AUUGAACGCUGGCGGCAUGCUUUACACAUGCAAGUCGAACGGCAGCGGGGGCUUCGGCCUGCCGGCGAGUGGCGAACGGGUGAGUAAUGCAUCGGAACGUGCCCAGUCAUGGGGGAUAACUACGCGAAAGCGUAGCUAAUACCGCAUACGCCCUGAGGGGGAAAGCGGGGGAUCGCAAGACCUCGCGUGAUUGGAGCGGCCGAUGUCGGAUUAGCUAGUUGGUGGGUAAAGGCCUACCAAGGCGACGAUCCGUAGCGGGUCUGAGAGGAUGAUCCGCCACACUGGGACUGAGACACGGCCCAGACUCCUACGGGAGGCAGCAGUGGGGAAUUUUGGGACAAUGGGGGGCAACCCUGAUCCAGCCAUGCCGCGUGAGUGAAGAAGGCC
rnacentral:rRNA from 1 species